GUCAACAUGCCCAGGGGACGUGGAUAACCUCGGGAAACUGAGGAUAAACCGCGAUAGGUCACUACUUCUGGAAUGGGUAAUGACCCAAACCUAUAUGGCCCCUGGAUUGGACUGCGGCCGAUCAGGCUGUUGGUGAGGUAAUGGCCCACCAAACCUGUAACCGGUACGGGCUCUGAGAGGAGGAGCCCGGAGAUGGGCACUGAGACAAGGGCCCAGGCCCUAUGGGGCGCAGCAGGCGCGAAACCUCUGCAAUAGGCGAAAGCUUGACAGGGUUACUCUGAGUGAUUUCCGUUAAGGAGAUCUUUUGGCACCUCUAAAAAUGGUGCAGAAUAAGGGGUGGGCAAGCCUGGUGUCAGCCGCCGCGGUAAUACCAGCACCCCGAGUGGUCGGGACGUUUAUUGGGCCUAAAGCAUCCGUAGCCGGUUCUACAAGUCUUCCGUUAAAUCCACCUGCUUAACAGAUGGGCUGCGGAAGAUACUAUAGAGCUAGGAGGCGGGAGAGGCAAGCGGUACUCGAUGGGUAGGGGUAAAAUCCGUUGAUCCAUUGAAGACCACCAGUGGCGAAGGCGGCUUGCCAGAACGCGCUCGACGGUGAGGGAUGAAAGCUGGGGGAGCAAACCGGAUUAGAUACCCGGGUAGUCCCAGCUGUAAACGAUGCAGACUCGGUGAUGAGUUGGCUUAUUGCUAACUCANUGCCGCAGGGAAGCCGUUAAGUUUGCCGCCUGGGGAGUACGGUC
rnacentral:rRNA from 1 species